GCCAAUGUAGUUCAGUGGUUAGAGCGUCGGCCUGAGCACCAGAAGGUCACAGGUUUGAUUCCUGGUCAAGGGCA
rnacentral:tRNA from 1 species